UAGUUCCAAAAACUAUUUACCAAAGUGCCAGCUUGCAUAUGUUUAUAAAUUGUUUUGAGUGCCCUUGUUUCAAUAAUUAGUUUCUACUAACCUCUCUAAUUUUGGAAAUUUCUCUGGUGGGGUUAUCUUUUAGGUUGGUCCUUCUGACUAGAGAACCACCUUGAUGUUUGAAGCUGUGAAAUCUUAAG